rnacentral:rRNA from 1 species
AUUGAACGCUGGCGGCAUGCCUUACACAUGCAAGUCGAACGGUAACGCGGGGGCAACCCUGGCGACGAGUGGCGAACGGGUGAGUAAUACAUCGGAACGUACCCAGUAGUGGGGGAUAGCUCGGCGAAAGCCGGAUUAAUACCGCAUACGACCUAUGGGUGAAAGCGGGGGAUCGCAAGACCUCGCGCUAUUGGAGCGGCCGAUGUCGGAUUAGCUAGUUGGUGAGGUAAAGGCUCACCAAGGCUACGAUCCGUAGCUGGUCUGAGAGGACGACCGGCCACACUGGGACUGAGACACGGCCCAGACUCCUACGGGAGGCAGCAGUGGGGAAUUUUGGACAAUGGGCGCAAGCCUGAUCCAGCCAUGCCGCGUGUGUGAAGAAGGCCUCGGUUGUAAG